UGGUAGUGUCUGCCUCUUGGAUACACUGAUCGUCGUGAUAUAAGAUUAAGGAUCAGUGUGGUCUAAAGCAAUUGGAUGGUAUCUGGACAUGUUCUGGAUGACCUGCUGGUGGGACACGUGGGGUUGACUGCCUGGGCUUUUGUGCUCUGUAAGCUCUUAAAAUCUGUGAUAGUUGCCUUUCCUGAGUAGGUGAUAGCAUGUUUCUCAAUAGCAGGCAUGGUCACUGAGGCACGGGCUUCCAGGACCGUUUGCCUCCAACACACUUUUGAGGGCAAGGACAUCUUCAAGAUGUUUAGAAUUGAGGGAAUAUGUAUUUUUCUUUGACAUACAAUCCCCGCACGGCAAAUCCAUUUCUGUCCGGUUACUUAACAGCUAUUGUUCCUGCAAUACCCAGAGCCUUGUCAGAGGGUUUCUUGCUUUGACUGUCCAAGGCUCAAUUAUCUUCUUUCCUGCAACGUGCAAGAACCAAAGCCAGGACUUUUUGUGCUGGGAGGGGACUCUGUGCCUACAGCCGUCCCUGGUUUGUAGCGUAAGAGAGCCGGAACGGAGGAGUUGGCGAAGGACUGUGCUGUCUCUCCCAGUGAAAUGUGCCCCUUGUAUGGAGCACGCCGCUCUCAAGGGCUCGUGCAGAAGAAAGGAGGAUUUCAGAUGGGAGGUGGAAUUCUGAGAAUUUGAGAUGGUGGCUGAUAAGAGGUGUCAUGAUGAGGAGCUUCUCAGAAACAGAAGUGGAUGAUGAGUGGAGAUGAAGAAAUCAUACAUUUAAGAAGUUGGCUCAAGUUUCCGUUACAGGCAUGGAAAGUUUCUGAGACCAAGCCAUGUGAGAAGAACAUGAGUAAAGAAGAGGGAGAUGUAGACCCCAGACUUUCUAGAAGGGAUUGCAGGAUUUGAGAGGACGCUGCGCAAACGUCACGUAGUUUGCUUGCUUAUUCAUUUACCUGCGCCCCUGGAUUGUAAUGCUUUGUUUGCAUAUCUGUUUGGAAGUUGACAAAUCCCCGCACAUCUGUGUCUUUAAUAUAAUCAUGGCUUCAAACUUGUUUUAGGGAGAGCAGAACAUCGCUGUAGUUUUUAUUUGUGGAUUAGAUAGCUUUGUACUUGAAAUCAAUUUUUAUUUUUCGGAGAGAAGUACAAUGAACAUGGAAAAGACCAUAUGGAUCAGACCGUGAGCGCUACAAAACACAAAAUCAGGGGUUUGGCUUGCAUUUAAUAAACAGCCUUUGCAUAAAAAGUGUGACAGGUGCAAAGGUAAAAGAGAAAAAAAAAAGUAGUGCUAGCCCUCUAAUUUGAGUGUUCUUACGCUAUCCUUAGGCAAAUGUCUGGAUCAAAUAUCAAUCAGGUCAAUCUUUUUUUAUUUGACUGUUGGUCACAAAAAUAUUCCAGGUAGGUAAGACUUCUUGGCAGGGCUGUGGGGUUUUAGGUGCAGAUUAAUUAGUAUUGAGUUAGUAUUUCUUGUUUUUAGAAAGGUAGUCUUUUUUUGAACAUCUUGGCUGUCAGGUGAAGUAUCUCCAAGGAAAUACUAGCUGUGCAGUCCAGCAAGUUACGAUGCUGUGAACAGACUUACUUGUAGUAAGUCUCUGAUACGGAGUCACUAAGACUUUGACAUCGAUGUAUUUAAAAUUUUAACAUUAAAUAUAAUUUCCUAUAUUGGACAGUGUUGCUGGUAGAGGCAAAGAGCAUCUUUAUUUUUCUUAGGAACUCUUAUCUGGUGUUUUACCCCUAAUAAAAGGGUAGUUAUUUUUGCAUACUGACCGAAUAUUUGGCCUUUAAGAGUAUAUAAUUAGUUGGAAGAGUAAAAGCAGUUGUUGAAGGACUGUUUUUCUAAUGAAAAUAGUUUGAAAUCAUAUAAUUUUAGUUUCUUCCGAAUAGAUAUGAUUAGUGUGUUGGAAGUACUUUUAGAGUGGAUAUAAAGGGAACAGUUGAGAGACAGUGGCUGAGAAUGUGUCCAGCUAUUUUUGUAGCUAACAGUUAUAUUUUUUCAGUCUCUUUACUUAGAUAUUUCCAUAUAAUUGGACAGCUAAAUUAUAUUUGGAUACAAAAGCUAUUUGCGCUUAGUGGUAUUUAUAUUUUAAAAUAGGUAUUACUGUACUAAUUGAUAAGUAAAUCACAAUGUUAGAAAAUCCUGGCCUGUGUUAUUACUUUGAUAGAAAUUUGAAUAUGGGAUAGUAUUGUCUGUAUCAUAUAAAAAUGUUUUCAUGGAUUUUUAGCUGCUGAAACUGAAAUCAAUAAACAUUAGUUACUGUUGUUGACUGAAACAA